GUGUCAGCCGCCGCGGUAAGACGAACCGUGCGAACGUUAUUCGGAAUCAUUGGGCUUAAAGGGCGCGUAGGCGGCGGUGUAAGUUGGAAGUGAAAUCCCAUCGGCUCAACCGUGGAAUUGCUCCCAGUACUGCACUGCUCGAGGGGGAUAGGGGUCCGCGGAACUACCGGUGGAGCGGUGAAAUGUGUUGAUAUCGGUGGGAACGCCAGUGGCGAAAGCGGCGGACUUGACCCUUCCUGACGCUGAUGCGCGAAAGCUAGGGGAGCAAACGGGAUUAGAAACCCGCGUAGUCC
rnacentral:rRNA from 1 species